rnacentral:rRNA from 1 species
ACGAGGGUGACAGGUGGUGCAUGGUUUGUCGUCAGCUCGUGUCGUGAGAUGUUGGGUUAAGUCCCGCAACGAGCGCAACCCUCGACCUUAGUUGCCAGCAUUCAGUUGGGCACUCUAAGGUGACUGCCGGCUAAAAGUCGGAGGAAGGUGGGGAUGACGUCAAAUCAUCAUGCCCCUUAUGACCUGGGCUACACACGUGCUACAAUGGGCGGUACAAAGGGUCGCGAACCCGCGAGGGGGAGCCAAUCCCAAAAAGCCGCUCUCAGUUCGGAUUGCAGGCUGCAACUCGCCUGCGUGAAGCCGGAAUCGCUAGUAAUCGCGGAUCAGCAUGCCGCGGUGAAUACGUUCCCGGGCCUU